AUUCCCUCUGAAGAUUCAGAACCCUUUAUACUACUCCAACACCAAAUAUUUAAUCUGUCAAUCUAAUCUUGGAUAUUUGAAAUCUUCUCCAUACAUAUCAUGAGAUAUUCUUCACCAGAAUAAGCUUUUGUUUCACUACCAAGAGGUUUGGCCUCCUCUCCAGCCUGUGACUACUGGGAAGACAGGGCACCUGUCCUAUUCACCUUUGUAUCUCUGGUGUCUCACUCAGGAUCCGGCACAGUGCUUGCCAAGGACCUGCUAUGCGCCAGGGGCUGCUGGAGCUGGGAACCUAAUGAUCACAGUGUCAGCCUCUGCCAGCCUUUGUGUGUGUGGCAGGGGUUGUUUUGAGUCCCACCAUCUUCCAUCCCUGAUGCUUGGAGAAGCUGAGGACACACAGGGGUGUACAGGGAGCAUGGUGCCAGCAUCUGCUUCUGAUGAGGCCUCAGGAAGCUUCCAAUCAUGGCAAAACGUGAAGUGGGAGCAGACACAUCACAUGCAGUGCCUGAUCCUCUACUGGGUGUUCAACACUGGCUGCAU
rnacentral:lncRNA from 10 species